GGUGGGUUAGCUCAGUGGUUAGAGCCUAGGUCUCAUGACCAGAAGGUCCCAGGAUCCAAUCCAGCUAGCA
rnacentral:tRNA from 1 species